UGUAAAGAGAGGUAUCACACCCCAUAAAUGGAAUUACAACCCACCACCUGUUUAUUCAGCCAUCUUUAC
rnacentral:tRNA from 1 species